rnacentral:rRNA from 2 species
GGGCGUUAAGUUGCAGGGUAUAGACCCGAAACCCGGUGAUCUAGCCAUGGGCAGGUUGAAGGUUGGGUAACACUAACUGGAGGACCGAACCGACUAAUGUUGAAAAAUUAGCGGAUGACCUGUGGCUGGGGGUGAAAGGCCAAUCAAACCGGGAGAUAGCUGGUUCUCCCCGAAAGCUAUUUAGGUAGCGCCUCGUGAAUUCAUCUCCGGGGGUAGAGCACUGUUUCGGCUAGGGGGCCAUCCCGGCUUACCAACCCGAUGCAAACUGCGAAUACCGGAGAAUGUUAUCACGGGAGACACACGGCGGGUGCUAACGUCCGUCGUGAAGAGGGAAACAACCCAGACCGCCAGCUAAGGUCCCAAAGUCAUGGUUAAGUGGGAAACGAUGUGGGAAGGCCCAGACAGCCAGGAUGUUGGCUUAGAAGCAGCCAUCAUUUAAAGAAAGCGUAAUAGCUCACUGGUCGAGUCGGCCUGCGCGGAAGAUGUAACGGGGCUAAACCAU